rnacentral:rRNA from 1 species
GUCGAACGCGAAAGUCCCCUUCGGGGGGCAAGUAGAGUGGCGCACGGGUGAGUAACACGUAGGUAAUCUACCUUUGGAUGGGGAAUAACAACCGGAAACGGUUGCUAAUACCGCAUAAUGCAGCGGCACCUAAUGGUGACAGUUGUUAAAGCGGGGGAUCGAAAGACCUCGCGUCUGAAGAGGAGCCUGCGGCGGAUUAGCUAGUUGGUAAGGUAAUGGCUUACCAAGGCUACGAUCCGUAACCGGCCUGAGAGGGCGGUCGGUCACACUGACACUGACAUACGGGUCAGACUCCUACGGGAGGCAGCAGUCGGGAAUUUUGGGCAAUGGGCGAAAGCCUGACCCAGCAACGCCGCGUGAAGGAUGAAAUCCCUCGGGAUGUAAACUUCGCAAGAACAGGAAGAAUAAGUAGGGGACAAUACCCCCUAUGAUGACGGUACUGUUUGUAAGCUCCGGCUAACUCCGUGCCAGCAGCCGCGGUAAUACGGGGGGAGCAAGCGUUGUUCGGAUUUACUGGGCGUAAAGGGCGCGUAGGCGGCCACCGCAAGUCAGUUGUGAAAUCUCUGGGCUUAACCCAGAAAGGUCAACUGAUACUGCGGGGCUAGAGUGCAGAAGGGGCAACUGGAAUUCUCGGUGUAGCGGUGAAAUGCGUAGAUAUCGAGAGGAACACUGCGGCGAAGGCGGGUUGCUGGGCUGACACUGACGCUGAAGCGCGAAAGCUAGGGGAGCGAACGGGAUUAGAUACCCCGGUAGUCCUAGCCUUAACGAUGAAUGCU